rnacentral:lncRNA from 1 species
GACUAUUGUUUUAUUCCAUGCUAGCUACUGUUGUCAGACACUUCCACGUCCUACUAUGUUAAAUAGUGGGAUCAUGCAAUAUAAUAGCUUAUAAAGUUUAAACUAAGCUAUGAUCCAUCCAACAACCCCGGGCCAUCAUUUUCUGCUCUUUAAAUUAAGGACCAUGCUGUUUAUUAUUUUGAUUGAUUCCUAUGGGUUUAUGACUAGUGGGAACAAUA